rnacentral:rRNA from 1 species
CACGUAGGGUGCGAGCGUUGUCCGGAAUUAUUGGGCGUAAAGAGCUCGUAGGCGGUGUGUCGCGUCGAUCGUGAAAACUUGGGGCUUAACCCUGAGCUUGCGGUCGAUACGGGCAUCACUUGAGUUCGGCAGGGAGACUGGAAUUCCUGGUGAUAGCGGUGAAAUGCGCAGAGUAUCAGGAGGAACACCGGUGGCGAAGGCGGGUCUCUGGGCCG